CCUACGGGUGGCAGCAGUGGGGAAUAUUGCACAAUGGGCGAAAGCCUGAUGCAGCAACGCCGCGUGAAGGAAGAAGUAUUUCGGGAUGUAAAGCCCUAUCAGCAGGGAAGAAGAAAUGACGGUACCUGAGUAAGAAGCACCGGCUAAAUACGUGCCAGCAGCCGCGGUAAUACGUAGGGUGCAAGCGUUAUCCGGAUUUACUGGGUGUAAAGGGAGCGCAGGCGGCACGGCAAGCCUGAUGUGAAAGCCCGCGGCGCAACCGCGGGACUGCAUUGGGAACUACCGGGCUGGAGUGCCGGAGAGGUAGGCGGAAUUCCUAGUGUAGCGGUGAAAUGCGUAGAGAUUAGGAGGAACACCAGUGGCGAAGGCGGCCUACUGGACGGUGACUGACGCUGAGGCUCGAAAGCGUGGGGAGCAAACAGGAUUAGAUACCCGGGUAGUC
rnacentral:rRNA from 1 species